rnacentral:rRNA from 1 species
UACGGAGGGUGCAAGCGUUAUCCGGAUUCACUGGGUUUAAAGGGUGCGUAGGCGGAUUGGUAAGUCCGUGGUGAAAUCUCUAAGCUUAACUUGGAAACUGCCAUGGAUACUAUUAGUCUUGAAUAUUGUGGAGGUUAGCGGAAUAUGUCAUGUAGCGGUGAAAUGCAUAGAUAUGACAUAGAACACCAAUUGCGAAGGCAUCUCGCUACACGAAGAUUGACUCUGAGGCACGAAAGCGUGGGGAUCAAACAGG